GUACCUUCAUGUACACCUCAACUUCACACUGCUACUGAUUGAUCACUCUGAUCGAUUUCGUUUUUCAAAUCAUUAGUGGUUGAUUCACUUUCAUAAUUUUAAUGUCAAAAGUUAAAAGAAUAAAUUAUGUUAAACAAGUGAUGUAAAAUAGAAUUAAAAGACAUAAAUUAAAAAUAAGUAAUAUUUUAAAAUAGGAAAAUAAGG
rnacentral:lncRNA from 1 species